UGGUUCCAGGUGAGUCAGCAGUCUGUCUGUGGUUCCAGGUGUCAGGUCCUUCUUCGUGUUCUGUAAGAGUUGUCGGUCCAUCCAGCCCGGGAAACUCAGAGUUUGUUGUCGGAGCUGCAGACAGACGACGCUGACGCUCAGCAGGGGUCCGUCCUGUUGGGACGACGUCCUCCUGCCAGGUCGUGUCCACGGUGUGUGUCAGUCAGACGGUUGUCACGGCAGUGAAGCGGAGUUCUACAUGAAGUGUGCGUCUCAUCCAACCUCAGAGGACGAUGUCUCUGUGGCCCUCGACCUCAUCAUGUCCAACAGUAGAGAUGUCCCCUGCAUUGCCUGCACUGACAUCAUGUAACACACACACACACACACACACAGAGUUUAUUAAACACAAUGUUUGUUAUCAAAGAGAGAAAAUAAUGCUCUCUCUGUCUUUGU